rnacentral:rRNA from 1 species
GSGACCCCAGGUCARGCGGGACUACCCGCUGAGUUUAAGCAUAUCAAUAA